UACGGGGGGGGUAAGCGUUGUUCGGAAUUACUGGGCGUAAAGGGCUCGUAGGCGGCCAACUAAGUCGGACGUGAAAUCCCUCAGCUUAACUGGGGAACUGCGUCCGAUACUGGAUGGCUUGGAUUUGGGAGAGGGAUGCGGAAUUCCAGGUGUAGCGGUGAAAUGCGUGGAGAUGUGGAGGAACACCAGUGGCGAAGGCGACUCUUUGGCCUGUAACUGACGCUGAGGCGCGAAAGCGUGGGGAGCAAACAGG
rnacentral:rRNA from 1 species